GGAGAGGUGGCCGAGUGGUUUAAGGUGCCGCUCUCGAAAAGCGGUGUCCGGGAAACUGGACCGUGGGUUCGAAUCCCACCCUCUCCG
rnacentral:tRNA from 1 species